rnacentral:rRNA from 1 species
GACGAACGCUGGCGGCGUGCCUAAUACAUGCAAGUAGAACGCUGAAGGAGGAGCUUGCUUCUCUGGAUGAGUUGCGAACGGGUGAGUAACGCGUAGGUAACCUGCCUGGUAGCGGGGGAUAACUAUUGGAAACGAUAGCUAAUACCGCAUAAGAGUAGAUGUUGCAUGACAUUUGCUUAAAAGGUGCAAUUGCAUCACUACCAGAUGGACCUGCGUUGUAUUAGCUAGUUGGUGGGGUAACGGCUCACCAAGGCGACGAUACAUAGCCGACCUGAGAGGGUGAUCGGCCACACUGGGACUGAGACACGGCCCAGAGUCCUACGGGAGGCAGCAGUAGGGAAUCUUCGGCAAUGGACGGAAGUCUGACCGAGCAACGCCGCGUGAGUGAAGAAGGUUUUCGGAUCGUAAAGCUCUGUUGUAAGAGAAGAACGAGUGUGAGAGUGGAAAGUUCACACUGUGACGGUAUCUUACCAGAAAGGGACGGCUAACUACGUG